GGAGGGUCUAUGGCUCAGUGGUAGAGCAUCUGCGUGGCAAGCAGAAGAUCCCAUGUUCAACCCCCAGCAUCUCCA
rnacentral:tRNA from 1 species